GGGGAAUAUUGGGCAAUGGGCGAAAGCCUUACCCAGCAACGCCGCGUGAGGGAAGAAGGUUUUCGGAUUGUAAACCUCUGUCCUGGGGGACGAAGGAAGUGACGGUACCCCGGGAGGAAGCCCCGGCUAACUACGUGCCAGCAGCCGCGGUAAUACGUAGGGGGCGAGCGUUGUCCGGAAUUAUUGGGCGUAAAGGGCGCGUAGACGGCUGAGUAAGUUACUGGUGAAAGCCCAGCUUUUAAGGCUGGAAUUGCCGGUAAUACUGUUCAGCUUGAGUGCAGGAGAGGGAAGCGGAAUUCCUAGUGUAGCGGUGAAAUGCGUAGAUAUUAGGAGGAACACCAGUGGCGAAGGCGGCUUUCUGGACUGUAACUGACGUUGAGGCGCGAAAGCGUGGGGAGCAAACAGGAUUAGAUACCCUGGUAGUCCACGCCGUAAACGAUGGAUGCUAGGUGUGGGAGGUAUCGACCCCUUCCGUGCCGCAGUUAACGCAAUAAGCAUCCCGCCUGGGGAGUACGGCCGCAAGGUUGAAACUCAAAGGAAUUGACGGGGGCCCGCACAAGCAGCGGAGCAUGUGGUUUAAUUCGACGCAACGCGAAGAACCUUACCAGGACUUGACAUCUGAUUAAGCUUGUGGAAACACAAGGUCCCUUCGGGGAAAUCAAGACAGGUGGUGCAUGGUUGUCGUCAGCUCGUGUCGUGAGAUGUUGGGUUAAGUCCCGCAACGAGCGCAACCCUUAUUUCCAGUUACUAACAGGCAGAGCUGAGGACUCUGGAGAGACCGCCGGGGACAACUCGGAGGAAGGUGGGGACGACGUCAAAUCAUCAUGCCCCUUAUGUUCUGGGCUACACACGUGCUACAAUGGUGACUACAAAGAGAAGCGAAAUCGUAAGGUAGAGCGGAUCUCAAAAAAGUCAUCUCAGUUCGGAUUGUGGGCUGCAACCCGCCCACAUGAAGUCGGAGUUGCUAGUAAUCGCGGAUCAGCAUGCCGCGGUGAAUACGUUCCCG
rnacentral:rRNA from 1 species